CCUGGAAUCUGUAGUACAAAGAAUAAUAUACAACCAUUCAACUGUUUAUGUUAUUUUAAUAUAAAUUCUUGGUAAACAACAUAGGAACUGCAUCUUCUUUUUCUUUAAAAAUCUACUAGCAACUGUUGCUAAUCAGAGUAUAUAUUCAGGGCAACUGAAAUCAGUGCUCCCAGGUUGCAGUUCUCAGACUUGACCCAAAUAAACUCUCUGAUGAUUUGCCUCAAAUUUUUCCUCAUAGGUGAACACAGUACUGAGUGUGUAGUUCUGCUGUUCUCCAAAGAAUGUGGAAGCUCGUUUUAGUCCUCAGCUAAGCUGCCUGCAGAUCAGACCCUUCUGAGGUUUGUUUUUAGUCCUUGUGAAAGCGUGUUUAAGGAAGGCUCCCUCUAGAGCUAAUUCAGCCUGACUCGUUAGUUAUGACCGUUCUGAGGUCUCCUGAAUGUCCUCGGUGUUCCUGAGGUCACUCCUCUCUGGGUAGUUGGAAUGCAAAUUUAUCCUUGUCCUGAGUGAACUCUAGGAAUUGUUCCACGUCCAGCUCUGAAGUUCUUCACCCAGCUUCAUGGAGUCUCACUCUGCACAUAUACGGCUUCGUCUUCAGUCAGUGUCUAAAAACCACCUUGCAGAAUCCAGGACCCUCCCUCUCUGGGUAGCCCCCUCCUUGUGGGUACCCUGACCCCCAAGGAUCAGCAGCCUCCGCUUCCCCAGACUCCACACUCUGCAUCCUCACCUCGGUGACAACCCAUCCUGUGCUUGGGUCCCCCUCCCUGUCCCCUCUUCUCUUGGAGAUGACAGUCCUCGCUGCUUGUUUUCCCAUAUCUGGAAGCAGUUGUGACACAGUCAUUGUCCUGUUUUCUGGUUGUUUAUGCCAGAAGAGCAAGUUCAGUACCAGUCCCUUCAUCAGGGCCAGAGGCGGAAUGCUACGGCCUGCCUUCCGCGGGGCACGGAACUCCGUGGACUCCAUUCACAGAAUCUCAGACUCACAGGCAAUAGAAAAACAGUACAGGCUGAAUUUGGCCAACUGGCUGGAGUUUGCUAACCCUGACGAUGGAAUAAUAGCAUAAGCCAUUCACAGAAGAAGAAAAAGGAAAUUACUAACGCAUGUAUGAAAAGAGACUGAGCUUCCCUAAUGAUCAGGUGAACAGACUGAAAGCAAGCUAGAGGACAUUUCACACUAAUCAGGUGGGUAGAACAUUAGCAGACCGACUAUACCAUGAGUUAGUGGAGGUGAAGAGAAACGGCCAUUCUCACACGGCUGGUAGGAGUGUACAUUAAUUCAGCCACUUUGGAAGGCAAUUUGUCAAUAUCCGAAGCAAAAUUGGAAUUGAAAAUGCAUGUUCACAAAGACUCAGCUAUUCCACUUCUAGAUCUAUUAUCCAGAGAGACUCUUACGUGAGUGUGGCGUUAUCAUAGGAAAAUAAAUUAGAAGCAACUUAAGUGCA
rnacentral:lncRNA from 13 species